GAUGAGAAAUUUGGGUAGAGCUGGUUGCCCAGAUUUGAAGACAGGUCUUCAGUGCCCUACACUGAAGCUUUAAUUUAUGAAGUGUUCAACAUGCAUCUUACGUGCCUUUCAUGAUUCCUCAUUGUACCGCUGAAGAUAUUGUAUUAAGCGGAUAUUUUAUUGCCAAAGAUUCCUGUGUUUUCAUCCAUCAAUAUCUAAUCAACUAUAAUAAAAAAUUAUAGAAGAACCCAGGUUUGUUUAGCCCUGAAAGAUUUCUUGAUGAAAACAGACAAGAAAUCAAGAACCUAGCUGAAAAGUAAUGAUCUCCAGGAUUGGCAAGAGGAGGUGUCUGGAAGAAAGCUUUGCUCACAUGGAAAUAUUCAUUUUCCUAACAAUGUUACUACACUGACUGGACAUCAAGCAUCUGAAAGGCCAGAAAAUAGAUCUAGAUCUACUAUUUUGGACUAACUAUGAAACCUAAACAGUUUUAAAUUGCCAUCUCUCUACCUAUACAUUUCAAGUACAUUUUGGUCCCAAAUUUUGAAUCAGAGACAUACCCAUUUUAAAAACCUGGGCCUUCAUAAACAAUAGGGGGAGUUUAACAA